GAUGAACGCUGGCGGCGUGCCUAAUACAUGCAAGUCGAGCGAACAGACGAGGAGCUUGCUCCUCUGACGUUAGCGGCGGACGGGUGAGUAACACGUGGAUAACCUACCUAUAAGACUGGGAUAAAUUCGGGAAACCGGAGCUAAUACCGGAUAAUAUACUGAACAGCAUGGCUCAAUAGUGAAAGACGGUUUUGCUGUCACUUAUAGAUGGAUCCGCGCCGCAUUAGCUAGUUGGUAAGGUAACGGCUUACCAAGGCAACGAUGCGUAGCCGCCCUGAGAGGGUGAUCGGCCACACUGGAACUGAGACACGGUCCAGACUCCUACGGGAGGCAGCAGUAGGGAAUCUUCCGCAAUGGGCGAAAGCCUGACGGAGCAACGCCGCGUGAGUGAUGAAGGUCUUCGGAUCGUAAAACUCUGUUAUUAGGGAAGAACAAAUGUGUAAGUAACUAUGCACGUCUUGACGGUACCUAAUCAGAAAGCCACGGCUAACUACGUG
rnacentral:rRNA from 1 species